UCAGAAACUGUUAAGGUAACCCACCCUGUGUGUAUCCCUGAGAGAAAAAGUGGAGCAGCAAUUUCCAUCAAUAACUCCCUGCGGAGAUUUGGAAGGGCUCCUUGUUCCUUUAAAGUACUUGGAAUUACUUCAGUCAGGGAAGCUGUCACAUCACUCAUAAAGUGCCUGCAGAGCAGCAACACGGCAGCACCGAGCUGGUGCAGUGCACCCACAAAGAGGAUCAUUUUUAUCCUCCUUCCUUGCCAGAACCACAUUUGCUCAGGGACCUCCAGAGGAAAGCGGAUUUCUGGAAUAUCUUUGGUAACUGUGGUCCUUGGUCCCUCUUCAAUCACCUGCCACCAUCACAGACAGUUGCUCCUCACUCCUGGGCUGAAGAAUGAGACCCAGAUCAGCCUCAGGCACAAAAGCAGGAGAGGCAGAACUUGGUUACCUCAGCUCAGAGACACAGUCCUCAAAAAACCUUUGUGGAUGCAACUUCUCCGUGGAUAUGACCAACACAGCCUUUGCCUCUCUUCAGGUACCUGAAACAGUCACCUGCACACCUCAGGAGCGUUUCUGAGUGGUGCUCAAUGCACUUUCAAGUGAAGUCCCCAGAUCACAAUAAGGCAGGGCAG